UACGAAGGGGGCUAGCGUUGCUCGGAAUCACUGGGCGUAAAGGGUGCGUAGGCGGGUCUUUAAGUCAGGGGUGAAAUCCUGGAGCUCAACUCCAGAACUGCCUUUGAUACUGAGGAUCUUGAGUACGGGAGAGGUGAGUGGAACUGCGAGUGUAGAGGUGAAAUUCGUAGAUAUUCGCAAAGAACACCAGUGGCGAAGGCGGCUCACUGGCCCGUAACUGACGCUGAGGCACGAAAGCGUGGGGAGCAAACAGGG
rnacentral:rRNA from 1 species